UCAUUCCAGAGGAGGGGAAAGACAAAUGGGACAGCAGCCAGGCUUGUGUGCUGCAAGGGCCAGUGGCCAGGGCAGAGCACUCGCUAAAAGGCUCGCAGACCUAGAGGUGUAGGUUUUCAAGAAGGAGCAAAACAUGUGCCUAUACAUACCAUCUUUAUGGGAAAUUCUACCUCAAGUUUUUGUGUUUAAAUAUCUAUAAGUUUAUUUGAUUUAAAGUAUCAAAAUCAUAUGACAAUGACAAAUAAUAUAAAAAGUGAUUGCGUUAUACAAAC